UACGGAGGUGGCAAGCGUUGCUCGGAAUCACUGGGCGUAAAGGGCGCGUAGGCGGGGAGGUAAGUCGGGUGUGAAAUCCCUCGGCCCAACCGAGGAACUGCGCCCGAAACUGCUUUUCUUGAGUCCCGGAGAGGAAGGUGGAAUUCCCGGUGUAGCGGUGAAAUGUGUAGAGAUCGGGAGGAACACCGGUGGCGAAGGCGGCCUUCUGGACGGUGACUGACGCUGAGGCGCGAAAGCGUGGGGAGCAAACGGG
rnacentral:rRNA from 1 species